GACGGUGCCAAUCACUGACUGAGCUUUGGAAGACUCUGGGAAAGCUAAGUUCAGCAAAGACUGGCCCACAGACAGGGGCACCCUUAUACCGGAGGGUACGAGGAAGCUACCCUCCAGAUUUGCACACAGCAUCCCCUCCCAUUGACAGCUGUAGGCAUUAGUGGAGGUCAGAUAGAUGACAGAGGAAGAACUCUCUCCUACUGCAAAGAAGUUUAAAUGGGUGACCUUUCUUGCCAUACACAAAGUACCACUAAAGAAUGCCCCACAAUACAGCUUCAAUUGAGAGACCAGGAAAUGGAUGUCCGGGGACUAGCAGACAGCAAAGAAUAAAAGAGGCAACUGAUUUCUACAAUGGAGGACUAUAUGUAUCAUUUAAAGG